CCCGAAGACGUCAUCAAAAAGUCCAGCUCUUAGGCGUGUCCGUUGAUGAUUGUACCGGCCGGUUUCAGUCUUUUCGUAUUUGUGUUGGUGGUAGAUUUGUAAUAUCACUUAUCACCGAAACAAAAAACUGCUGCAUACCACUUACAAGUGUAAUCAAGUCUGGUUGAUAAUCAGGUGUGAGGUGUACCUAGGUUACCGAGCAGAGGUCUGCACAAUGGCCUGCGGAGGUGGACCAAUGACCGAGAAGACUUGGCAUGAGCAUAUGCUUCAGCAACAGAAUGUUGCGGCCCACUCGUCUCCGUUCGCUGCGCCGGGUCACGUGUCGGCCGCCGGUCACUACGGCUACCAGCCGCCGGCUCAGAUGGACCGGCACCCAGCCGACAAGGAGAACGCCGCCAUGGACUUCGAGCACGGCAUGUGGCCAUCGGCGGCCGGCGGCCACGGCCCGCACAUCACGCCCGCAGCCGGGUACCUUGGCGUGCGCAAGCGCGGCAGGGAUGAGGUACUGUUCCAGGAUUUCAAACGAAGACGGCUUACAGGUGUUGUAUAAGGUCAGCGCGCGCGCCAAGUUCGGCUGGAUCGUCCGAGGUCAAUGACCUGACCUGACCUGAGCUUACCGCGCCGAGGUCACACCAGCCGCCCGGUUCGGCGGGCAGUAGAGCCGCUGUCAGCGGCCGGGGUGUCCGAGCAGCCGGCGCCGCCCGCUCCGGUCAACCCCGACCCGGCUCCCAUCGGGCACGGGGGCUGGCGGGCCGCCGGCUCUGCCACUCGCUGUCUGAUGCGCCACAUGAUAUGACUAGGAGAAAUUGACACCAAUGCGAAGCCGGCUUCUCGGGACGCGAUGGAGACCGAAUGUGAUCCGGAGAUGCCGGUGAAGCCAGUUGCCCAGGCGUCGAUAGCGACGUCUGCCGUGUCCGACCUGGAGCUCCGCUGUCGGCUACUGCGCGCACUGCACGGCGCCGAGCCUUACCACUGGGCGGGCAGUGCCGAGUGAACACUAGCAUCAAUCUCCUGCUCCCGCCGAGACGCCGCGCUUCGUUCCUGCGCCGGCGAUCGGCUCCACCUCGGCCGACGAGAUGCGUUCAGCGGUGGCCGCCUCGGCAUACUACGACCGGCUGUAUGUCGACUCCCACGUGGACAUGCUGAUGGAUGACCACGGCUGCUAAGAACCGAGGGUUAUGAGAGAACCACGCGCCGCAUUGAGCGGUGCUGCUGCAGACGGGGCACCAAGGCCUGGUUGUGGGACGAGUAAGGCUUGUGGUGGCUCGCACCCCUGACCGGACGUGAGAGACUCUCUUCGCCGUUCUGAUGUGAAGCACCAAGUGCCCAGACAGCUUCACUGCCUUUACCGGUGAUACAUUUCAUCUGUCUGCGUCAUUGUUUCUAAACAAAUGUGGGCGUGUGUUCUGUGUAGGUACUUUGCUUGAGGGAUCAGUUGCUUGUGCCAAGAGCUGGGAGCACCAGCAAUGCUUGAAAAAGAUCAUUACCUUCAUGUUGUUGUUUCUCUAUACCACUGUGUCAUAACUCUUGUUCUGUGCGUAUGCUUGGAUGUGCAUAAUAAGGAGUCUCACAAUCGGUACUAUCUCUGUUGCGGAUUUUCCAUUUGCAUCAUCUCUUCUGAUCUCGUUCGUCCUCACCCCGCUGGCUUGAUGAGUGGAAUCGUUUCAACAAGGUAUCGACUACUACUUUGUUUUGGGCGCGAAGAGGAGCGUCUUGACUUAAUGCUAAGUUUUAACUUUAGAGUGGGGAUAGGCAUAUAAGCUUCACUGGGUUCUUCAGAACACAAGCAUUUCGUGUUAUGCUUUUGUAGCGCUUGUAGUGAUGCUAGUUACACUGUACUUGUGUUAUGUUCGUAGGGUCUUUGUGUCCUAACCGAGUUGGCUGUACAUUUUAGCUGUAAGUUCGCUACCAUGCGUUCACGUUCAGUUUCAGAAGAGUUGUGAUAGUUCGGUCAAAGAAGUAAACGCGACUGUUUCUGAGAAACAUCUCUUCCACCUGACCUUUGUGUGCUGUUGGCCGGUCAUGGAUGUUCAGCCGGGAACAUCGUUGUAAUUGUGGACUUUUAUAGAUCCAUUGAAAUACAUAUGAAAACACCAGCCUUG